AAAAAAAAGCCGGGGGGGUGGGCUGGGGGAUGUGGCUCUGUGCUUAGGCAUCCUUGGCUUCAGUCCCAGGUACCAAAAAACAAAUGUGUUAAGACUAAUGACAAUAAGUUCAAGUUACUUAUGAGAAAUUUAAAAUAUACUAAUCUGUUAUGCAUGAUUCAUAGAGAAGAAAGGUUGCAAGUCUUGCAUGCUUGACUGCCUGUGAAAGGAUGUGGCUGCAUAUUAAAAUGUGCAAGACUGUCAUUUCCACUAAUGCAUCAAUUUGGGCUUUCAAAAGAAAUACGUACAAAGACAGCCUAACCUUGCAUGAUUUCUCCCUUUCUCCUUCACUUCUCCUUAUUUCAUUUAUCUUUGAAACCACUGAACUAGAUGAAUUCCAUAGACUUAAUAGAGCUGAUAUGACUGAAACAGUCCCAUAGAUUCCAGAAGGAGCCGGGUGCUCUGGUGAAGGAGUGUAUGCUGCCCCCCCGCUGCAGAUCUCAACAUAGUUCUUGGUCACCAUCAAAAAUGAGCAUUUUGGGGGCUGGGGAGAUAGCUCAGUCAGUAGAGUGCUUGCCUUGUAAGCACAAGGCCCUGGGCUCGAUCCCCAGCACCAAAAAAAAAAAAAAAAAAAAAAGCAUUUUUCUUUACAAAGAAAAACAGGCCAUGAUUAGAAUCUUUGUGUAAAAGGCGAUCUGAGUAAAUGAGAUACAACAUUUCUAUGUAGAAUCACUAAGGUGUCAGUUCUAUCUAAAAAUGUAAUGCAGCCAGGUGCAGGGUUCACACCUGUAAUCCCAGUGACGGGAGUCUGAGGCAGGAGGAUCACAGGUUCCAGGGAAAUCUGGGCAACUUGGUAAGACCCUGUCUCAGAUAAAAUAUGAAAAGGGCUGAGGACGUAGGUCAGUGGUGUAGCAUCCCUGGGUUCAAUCUCCAAUACAAAAAGAAAAAAGCCAAAUAUUCAACCUAAUGUUACUUCCUCCUCACAAAAUCCACUAAAGAAUCCCUUGUCAUAAAUACAUUUGAAUGAGCAUAACAUGAACCUGUGUGUAUAUAUGUAGCAUUGGGAAGCUCAGUGAGGUCACUCUUGCACUGGUGACCAUGACUGUUCCCAGGCUAGGAAGGGAAUUUAAGCUUUUUUUUUUCCCCCUGUUGGGGUGCUGGGGAUUGAACCCAGGACUUGAUCUUGCGAGGCAAGCACUCUACCAACUGAGCUAUCUCCCCAGCCUGAAUUUGAGCUUUUUAAUACACUUAUGUCUGUAUGCUUUUGAGAUUUUUUUUAAAACAAGCAUAUAACUUUGUUCGAAAUUUUGAAACCAGGUCUGGGAAUGUGACUCUGGUGGAGUGUUUGCCUAGCAUGCGGAAGGCCCUGAAUUCAAUCCCCUGGGCAUCAAAACCAUAGGGAGAAAAAAAUCCAGUCUGGGAUCCGCUUAUGUCUAUUUAGAGUUGAACCAGAGAUUCUUGAAAAAAGUUAAGGGUCUUGGCAGGGAACAUAUCUCAGUAUUUAGAGCGCUUGCCUGACAAUCUCAAAGUCCUGGGUUCUAUCCCCAGUACCGCAAGAGUUUAGAGACCCGUGUUCCCCUCUGAGGGCCACUUGGGCACACGCCUUAGUGCACGAGACCCAGAGCAAAUCUGGAGUUUGGAGCUGCUCUGGGGUUAUCUGAACCCUCCUGCAGUAAUGUGAACCCCCCAGCUGGCCAAGAAUCAGGUAGCAGGUUGAGGAGCAGGAUCCCCAACCUGGAACUCUGCACGCAGGCAGAAGGUUCCAGGGGCGUGGCUCAUCUGUUGUAGUUUCUGGAAAACAUCCUGCAGUCUGCUCUUGAUGAUCUCUGCCAUGCCGUGGCCAGCAAAGGAACAGCAUGAAGAAGCAGUACGGGGGCAAAGGGCAAGUGGCCAGCAAAGUAGGGACAGCUCGCCCUCCGCACAGUCCCUCCCGCACCCACACCCUUGCAGGACUCAGGCGGGGCACUGGAGGAGCUGGCUUCUACCUUCUCAGGCCCUACACUCUCCCUCUUUCCCCUCCCACCAUCCCUCUGGGAAGAGAGUUCCCACAGUGGACUUUGCUCCACCUGGGGUGGCCAAGUGGGGAAGGACUUAGCCUGACUGCAGAGGACACGAGGCAUCUGGAUCUUUUGUUUGUUGUUUGUUGUUGAUUUUCUCAGUCUCCAACUGCGUUAUGUAGGGAAGAGAUUUUGGAUGGGGGUCAAUACUGACUUUGGGACUUGUACUGUUUUUUUUGCUUUUGUUUUGGUACUGGGGUUUGAACCGAGGCUGCUGUACCACUGAACUAUACACCCAACCUUCUUUAUUUUUUUGAGACCGAGUUUUGCCAGAUCAUCCAGACUGGCCUCAAACUUUUCAGUGGCUAGGAUCAUAGGUGUGUACUGCUGUGCCUGGCUUUGGCUUUGGGACUCCUUGCUGGUUUAUCCCAAGGUUCUCCAGAAAGCACAGGAAAUAAAAUAAAAGCAACCUAAUAUGGCCUACUCUGCAGCUCCCGCUCACACUGCACGAACAAGGUUCACCAUGGGGGUUCCGUGGACAGCAGGUGUGGGCAUCCAGAAUGGAGAGUCUGUUCAUUCAUUCACAGCAGGUGUAAGGACGGCCAUGUGUCUGGCCAAGGGGUUAGGGUACACCAGUCAGCAGGCAGAUUCCCUGCCCUCUUGGAGCUUACGUUCUGCUGAGGAGGCAAGCAAGCAGAUUUUGGAUGGGGGUCAAAAAUGACAUGGCACAGCUUCAGGAAGUGGUGUUACAAAGAAAACUAACAGAGGUUAAGGAGCUAGGAAACAGUAGUGUAGUGUCGUCUUGACUAGGAUGCUUCAAUGAAUGCUGUUCAGGGACAAUGUCAUUUCAGAAAAGACAGAGGAAAGGAACCAUGGGAAAGGCUGGGAGAAAAGCACUCUGAUCUGAGGACACAGCAUGUGCAAAGGCCCUGAGGAAGAGCUGAGUCAGUUUUAGUGAAGAAGUUGGGGUUGAGGAGAAAGAAGUGGGUAGGAACCACAUCACAAUGAGACUGGGUUUUAUUCUGGGAGUGACAGGAGAGUAUUUAAGGGUUUCAAAUAGAUAAUUAAUGUUCUCUAGUUUACUUUUUUUUUUGGGGGGGGGCUACUUGGGAUUAAACCCAGGUUGCUGAACCACUGAGCUACAUCCCCUAAGUUCAACUUAGCACCUCGCUAAGUUGCUGAGGCUGGUUUUGAAUUCGGGAUCCUCCUGCCUCAGCCUUCCCAGCCACUGGGAUUACAGGUGUGCUCCAUGAUGCCAGGUUCCGGGCAUCUUGUGAAUAGUUCUGCUCCUCAAUGCUGGGUUCCUCCUGAGCGUGGAGAGGUUUUGCGCUGAUAGUGAAGUCCUCCAACAGGAAACCUCCUGCCAGUUCCACAGCACCAGCAUGCCUCGUGACAAAGAAUGAGGUCGUGAAGCAUGAGACAGUGAAGCUCCACUCGACUACAGAGUGAACUAGUCCCCACCAUAGGACUUAAGGACCUGCCCCUGAAAGGGCUUACUGGGGCAUGUCGGAGCUGCAGGCCGGUCUCCCUGUGGGGUCCCAAGGCACAGAUGUUCUAAUUUCAUCUUGAAAAAAAAAAAACGUUGAGGGCCCCUCCUUUCACCAAACCUACCCACACGUACUCACUCUUGUUUUGAGGCCUUUCCUCUGACCUUGUCUCCCACCAGGAACACUCUUGAUUUGUUCUGUCUAAACUAUAUUUUAAAAUGACACUGCUUGCUGGGCAGCGUGGAGCAGCCCAUAAUCCCAGUGGCUUGGGAGGCUGACGCAGGAGGAUUGCAAGUUCAAGGUCAGCCUCAGCAACUUAGUGUGACCCUAAGUAACUCAGACCCUGUGUCUAAAUAAAAUACAGAAAAGGACUGGGGUUGUGGCUCACUGGUUAAGCACUCCUGGGUUCAGUCCCUAGUAACAAAAUAUAUAUAUAAGAUAAAAUAACACCUCUUCCAUGAAGCCUCCUUAGAUUUUUCUGGUCCACACCUAGGUCUGCUGCUGAAUUAAUCUCACAUUAUUAUAGUCCUAAGAGUAUGAAAGCUCCUCUUCCUUGCUUACCUGUUAUAUUCCUGGUAGGACGCAGGUGCCUUAAGUAGAUUACCUCAUUUGAGGCUCAGACAAUCCCAUAAGAGAAGAAGCAUCUUCAUGUUGUAUAUGAAAAAAAUAGCAAACUAGGACCAACCAGCAGAAAGCCACAGGCUAGCACUGGAACUUGAUUUUAUCAGGCCAAACUUUGUUUCCAAUAAAAGGUUAGUUAAGUUUCUCCAAUUUUUGGUACAGUUUCGUCUCAGUAUCUUUGUAGCCAACUUUCACAAUAUGCAGAAAAUUGAACAUUUUUAUAAACCCCCAGCUGGAUUCUAUCAUGUCUUUACUAGACUGGUUUCAUUUCGUGUCUCUUUUUGUUUCCCUGCUUUCGUGGGGAUGGAACCCAGGUGCACUCUGUCAUCAGGCCCCGGCCUUUUUUACAUUUUAUUUUGAGACAGGUCUCGCUAAAUUGCUGAGACUGGCCUGGAACUUGUGAUCCUCCUGCCUCGGCCUCCGCCCUGGGGCUGCAGACUAGUGGUUUCGAGAUUCAUCCACACUGCUGCACCAUGCUCCUUGUGCUUUCCUUUGUAUUGUCCAGCAGGAAUCCAGCGUAUGGACAUACUACGAGUCAUCUGUUCUAGAGAUGCACAUCUGGGCCAUUCCUUUUUAUUAUUUUUUUUUCUUGGCUACUAGAAAUAAAGCCUAUGAAUAUUCUGGUGCAAAAAAAAAUUUUUUUGUAAACAUGCUUUCAUUUAUCUCCAAUAAAUACGGUGUAAUUUUGA